rnacentral:misc_RNA from 1 species
UUUCUGUUUGGAUGGCCCAUCUUCAUGAGGACUUCUCCAUUGGAGCCCUGCCAGCAUAUGAUCAGCUUGUUGCAUUGGUGAUGGUCUUUGACGUUACUGAUCUCUCAUCUUUUGUUGCGCUUAAAGAUUUUGUCUCCCGCACUGACAUCCUCAAGUUUGAGAUUUUGUUAUGCAUUGGCAACAAAGUGGACCUUCUUCCUGGUCAUUCGGCUCAUGUUGAAUACAGGCAGCUCCUGUUGAAAAGUGCAGACUCCUCUGGUAGCCCUUAUUCAGAAAUGGAUUCUGGAAUUUCUGAAACAGAAGGAAGCAGUCUACUAGGAGAUGAUGACUCAUCAUUUGAUGCUAAAAGGUCCUACUUGGAAUGGUGCCUCGA